UGUCUGACAUGAAUUUAACGGUCAGGACUCAAGCAUUUUGCGAUAAUUGUAUUAAUUAAACUUUAAAGUUUAACUUUGAUAGAACCGAUUACACCGAUGAAGACCACGUUUUUACAGAGGUUUCUGAAAUAUGUUCGUCCCCAUGAAAAUACAUCAUUUUCUUAAUUUUAAUUUUAAUUUUCAAUAACCCCCAGUGAUAACAAUGGUAAAUAUAUCUUCGUCUUCUUCAGCGACAUUAUACCCAACCCUACGAUAAUUAUUUUAGACUGAAAAUAUACGGAAUGUUAUCAUUAUCAUCAGAGAAUUCUGAAAACGAAAUUUAUAGAAUUUCCAUGUGAAACUUUGUAAAGUGUAUUUUAUUUUGUGUUGACAGUGGUGAACAUGUACCUGGUGUCCGGAAAUGAAGAUUUUGAUAAGGAAAGGAAAUGUUCAAGCAAUCAGUAGUAGAGAAUAGGACAUAAUGGACUGUUUUUACUCGACGUUGAUCCUCAAUAUCUUCAUUCAUUGUUAAAGACUUCCGACUGAGGACCCCAGGGUUUAGUACCAAAUACUCAUUCGUUUAUAAUCAUAAAUUGCAUUCGAAAGAACUGAAUCACUGUAUCAGCAUUGCAAAUUUCAAAAGGAGUAAUCAAUGUUUCAAAGCUUUUUCCAGUCGAUAUCCCAUCGACAAAUUAGAUGAUUGAGAGGCCAGUCCAAUCCAACGUUACCAUAAAAGAUUUUUCCAAUGGAAAUUAAAACUGCACCGGUGAGUUUUCGAUAAAACUGGACUUUCGUCGCGGCUGACAUUGUCGAUGUGAAUUGACUGGCGAAUGUGAGUGUACUUUUUGAAUUUCAAAACUUGUACGUGUACUUGUGGCGGUUGAACGUGGUGAAACGGGCGCGGCGAGGAAUGUUGAUCGUCCAACAUGAGUCCUGAACGUUCCUCUGGGUAUAUUUGAAUUUCCUGUUGUGAUAGCUCAACUUAUUUACCCACACGAAUAGAAAAACACAUAACAGUCCUGUCCCUGGGUGUUUGAAAUUUAGUGGGAUUCGUAAGAGUGAAGGGGGACAGGGACUGUCACCAAAAAUAUCGCAUGGUCCACACAUUAAUUCCAAUCUGACACUCUUUUUUGUGAAGAUCUUAAUUUUUUUAGUGGAGAUUUACAGGUAAUUUUCAGUGCCAUAUACUACUUGAGGAUAAAAUUUUCUCCUCGUAUAAAUCCUAAUAAUAAAUUGGAGAAGACAGCUCAAUUACUUCAGGUUUGAAACCAAUUCGUUCCGAUAAACUAAACGAGAAAAUAAUCGAUAGAGAAUUCUACUAGAAAUUAUGUGUCUAUAUUUAUGAUUACGAGUUAAUGAGCCUGCUAUUGAAUAUCAUAACACCAUAUCUAUCAUCAAAAAUUACUACAAAAAUUACUACUGCAAUUUACAACUUUUCAAAAUCAACAUCUUCGGCUUUUUUGAAAGGGAAUUAAUAGUUAAGAACAGCAACGGUAAUGAUGAUAAUUCCUUGUGGUAAGUUCUCUAAAUUUUAGAAUAAGAAACAAAUGGAAAUGUCGGGGAGAAAACGAUAAUUUAUGAAGAGGCACUUAUGUAAGACCUAGUAGUCUCAGGAAUAUUUUGAAUUUGAUGCAGAAAAAAAUUGGAGAGAAAGUUCUAUUAAAAUUUCUAUCACCUUUUCACUGAAGAUCUUCAUGAAAAAUCAAUAAACUCGGAUUUUUAUUUUCAGAUGAUCCUUUCAAUUUUAUUUCAUCAACUCCCAUUAAACAUUGGAUGGAGCGACAAAUUAAAAAAAUACAGAAAUGCUGACAAAAGCUACAGAAUUUUUGCCAACAAAUAGCGACAAACAAAUAAUUUAAACGUCUAUUGAACCAAGUCGGGAUUUUCACUUUGAUUUUGUCUACAUGAAUAAAAACAGUCAUUUAAAAAGUAGAAAAAAACAUGUGUAAAUUUAUGGAGUGAGUCUCACCAAUUACGAGGGGUGUUAUUGUCUGCAAAAAUGCGUAUUGUAGCAGUAAAAAAUAAGAGAAAAAUAGAAUCCCCGGUUAUACACCGGUAUGCGAAAGAGAUAAUGCGAAUGUUGGUGCUUGCCAGCCCCCUAACACAGGACGUUAACCCGGCACAAG